UACGUAGGGUGCGAGCGUUAAUCGGAAUUACUGGGCGUAAAGCGUGCGCAGGCGGUUCGUUGUGUCGGCGGUGAAAGCCCCGGGCUUAACCUGGAAGUGGCCGUUGAAACUGGCGAACUGGAGUGUGGCAGAGGGGGGGGUGGAAUUCCGCGUGUAGCAGUGAAAUGCGUAGAGAUGCGGAGGAACACCGAUGGCGAAGGCAGCCCCCCCUGGGCUAACACUGACGCUCAGGCACGAAAGCGUGGGGAGCGAACAGG
rnacentral:rRNA from 1 species